CUGCAGUAGAUGUGUGAGGCCUUUAAUGAAUAUCUUUCCUCUUUUUUUGCAUGACUUUCACGGUAAAAACUGGGGAAAUUCACAAAAACUUCAGUACCUGAGAUGGCUGACGGGGAUGCCUUGAGACACAGCAUGAUAACAGGCCCUUUCAGAAUUAAGGCUGCAAGUCAGAUGUGCCUGAACUUAAACCAGUCUAACAUGCACAGUAAAUUCCAACAAAGGUAGCCACUGGCAGCAGAUGUGUCCAUCUUUCAGGAUAUUUGUAUAUCUGCAAAUGUGAUGAUAUUGAGAACCAAACCCGUGAUCCUGGAAAUUCCACGUACUGAUUCAACAUCAGUAAGACGCAAGAGCUGAUUGCUGACUUCUGGAAGGAUUAUGUAUUGCAUUGAACUGCUGCUGCUAAGUUAACAAAUUUCACGUCACAUGCCGGUGAUAAUAAACCUGAUUCUGAUUCUGAGGAAGGAAGUAUAGAAGCCUGAAGCCACUCAGCAAUUCAAAAACAGCGUCUUCCCCUCUGCCAUAGGAUUCCUAAAUGGACAUCAAACCUAUAUAUGUUAUUUCUGUUUUUGCACUAUUUUAACCUAUUUAAUACACUUAUAUACACUUACUGUAAUUAUUUUCAUAUUUACAAUUAUUUUCUUUCUAUAUUAUGUAUUGCAUUGUACCUCUGCUGAGUUAACAAAUUUCACGACACACGCUGGUGUUAAUAGACCUGAUUCUGAUUUAUGCCAUAAUUGCAGAUAACGUAAGUUUAUGGGAAGAUUGGUAAUUUAUCUGUCUGACUUGUCAAAUUAAGAAAUAGUUGAGCUCACAUGCACAAAUGUCACAAGCGUCACAAAUUUUGUUUGAUCCAAGGUUUGUGACUCAAUCAAGUGGAAAUAACUUAUUCAGCUCUAUAAACAAGUAGAGCUUCUGCAAGUUAAUUUCGAGCAUUUUUUAAGACAGGAAAAUCUCUUCCCUUUCAAGCUCUUAUGUUUGCGUUCAGUGUGAUCUUUUCCACAAACUUCAUUAAUAUGGAGAUCAAACUCAAAUAAGAGCAAUAGUUCAGAGAGAGUAACAAUAUUUAAAAAGUGUCUAGAUCAGCACUUAAAUAAUAUCGACAUAGAAGGUAAGUACAGGAAGAUGUGAUUCAUGCAAGUUGAGUUACCAAUGGUCAGUGAGGGCUUGGUGGGCCAAAUAGCCUAUUUCUAUCCUGCAUUUGAACAGGAAGUUGAAAAAUGUCAUAGGAGGGAAAUGAGCUUUUGUCUGCAGGGAGGAUUUCAAUGAGAUUGGUAUGGGGGUGGGAGCAUUUGAGAGAGCAAGCACAGUGAGAAGACAUGGUUACAUGCAGCAACCAAAGUGCAGCAAUCAGGAUAGUCAUAUUUACAGUUAACAGUCAUAUAGGACCACUGAUAUAAAUUGCAUCUAUUUCAAUGCACAAAACAGACUAACUGAGGGCUUGAAUUUCCUGAAGAGACCGGAGUAUUGUGGCAUAAUGGAAAUGUGGCUACAAGAAGAGCAGGACUGGCUGUUCAAUGUUCUGGCGCGCCAAUGCUUUAGGCAAGAUAGAGGAACAGGUAAGAAUGGAGCAGAUGUUGUCUUUUUGAAAAGGGAGUACAUAACAGCAGUGCUUAGAGAGGAUAUUUUUGGGGGAUCACCUAACGAGGCCUUUGGGGAGGUCUCAGGAAUAAGGAGGGAAUGGUCACCUCGGUAGGGCUACAUUGUAAACCUCCUAACAGUCAGCAGAAUCCUGAGGAGCAGAUGUUGAGGAAUAGCACACACUCGUGGGAAUAGUAAGAUAGUGCUAGUGGGAGAUUUCGAUUUUCCUGGUCUUGACUGGGUAACAGAGAGUGCAAUGAGCCUGGAUAGGUUGAAUUUGUGGGGCGCAUCAGAAAGGGUUCCCUCAUGCUGUAUACAGAGGAAACCAUUCGGAGAGGAGCAACAUUUGGCCUCCUCUCAGGGAACGAGGCAGCCCAAGUGACUACAGUGACAGUUGGGAAACACUUUGGCUCCAGUGAUAUCAUUCUAAAUAGUUAUGGGAAAAGAUGGAACAGGUACAUGGCUUAAAGUCCUGAACUGGGGCAGGGCCAACUUUGAGUGCAUUAACCAGCUGGGUUCAAUUGGGUGACUCUUUUUCAAGGGAAAGGAAAGUUGGCAAGUGGAAGGCUUCGAAAACGAUCAUAUCAAGAGACCAGGUGCUGCAUGUGCUUGUUAGGGUGAAGGGUAGACAUACCAACUACAGGGAACCCUGAUCUAUGAGAUAGAUCAGGGUUCUGCAAAGGGAAAAAAAAAGAAAGGGUACAUCAUAUUUAGGUAGCUGGCUACAAAUGAAUCCCUCGAUGUAUAUUCAAAGUUUAAAAACAGUUUUAAGAGGGAAAUCAGGAGGGCAAAAGAAGUCUAUGAGACUUGGCAUAAUUUACUUAUUAUUAUUUAAUUAUUUAUGGUUUUAUAUUGCUAUAUUUCUACACUAUUCUUGGUUGGUGCGACUGUAAUGAAGCCCAAUUUCCCUCGGGAUCAAUAAAGUAUGUCUGUCUGCCUGGAUCUGGCCGGCAGGGUUAAAGAUAAUCCCAAGAGGUUCUUCAUUUAUAUUAACAGUAAAAGAGUGACUAUGGAGAGGCUUAAAGAUUAUCAGUUCCUUCUGUGUGUGCACCUGAUGAUCUUUAAGUCAUUUUAAAGAUCAGCAGGGAGCCUGUGUUUGGAGUUGCAGGAAAUAGCUCAGAUUUUUAGUGUCUAUUUUUCCUUGGUGUUUAUUGAUGAAAAUAUGUCAAAGAAAUGAGGACAACGAAUAGUGAAGUCUUUGAUCCUAUGCAUAUUAUGAAGAAGAAGGUACUUGCAGCCUUGAAGUGCAUUAAGGUAUGUACAUCAAUAGGGCCAGACCAAGUGCGCCCCCAGACCUUAAGGGAAGGCCAAGGAAGAAAUAGUGGUGGUCUUGUAGUUAAUUUAUUGUUAGCUGUUGGUGAAGUUUUAGGGGUCUGGCGAUAAGUUAAAGUUGUUGCAUUGUUCAAGAUGGUUAACAAGGAUAGGCCACUGAACUACAGGCUAGUGGAGUCUGACUUUACUUGUAGUGCAUGGGAAGUCAUGUCUGAUGAAUCUUUUGGAGUUCUUCAAAGAAGUAGCUAAGAGAAUAAGUGAAGUUAAGGCAUUGGAUUCUAGUAAGACCUUUGACAAGGUCCACAUUGCAGGUUGAUCUGGAAUAUUUGGUUGCAUGGGGAGCCAGUGAAGCAGAUUCAAAAUGAUGAUAGGAGAAGAGGGUGAUGGUUGAAGAGUUAAUCUCUGAAUGGAGGCCUGUAACUAGUGGCGUGUACCAGGGGAUCAGUGUUGGGACUUCUGUUAUUCAUUAUUUAUGUAAAUUAUUUGGAUUUGAAUGUACAUGGCAUGAUUAGUAAAUUAGGGGGUCUCAUUGAUAGGUUACAAAGAAUUGCAAGUUAAGGGGACGGCUGAGGAUGUCAACUUAGGUGGAGGUGAAUGAUGCAUCUUAGACCAUCAAACCAGGGUAGCACAUAACCAGUGAACACCAGGGCACUGACGAGUGUUGUGGAGGAGAGGAAGCUGAGAGUUUUUGAGCUCAGUUCACUAAUACAGCCAAGUAGAAGAAGGCACAAGCAUGCCGGCCUUCGUCGGUCAGGUGCAUCAAGUUUAGGAGGGAGGGAGGGCGUUAUGUUGCAGUUAUAUAAGGCUCUGGUGAGGCUGCACUUGGAGUACUGUGUACAGUUUUGGUCACCCUUUUAAAGCUGGAGAGAGUGCUGAAGAGGUUUAAGAGGACGGUGUUAGUUACAGGGAGAGUUUGGCUAUGCUGGAUCAUCUUUCCUGGAGCAGAGGAGCGUGACCUCAAAGAAGCUGAUAAAAUCAUGAGUGGUAUGGAUAAGGUGGACAGCUAUAGUCUUUUCCCCAGGGUUCAGGAGUCCAAAACUAGAGGACACUCAUACAAGGUAAGAGAGGAAAGAUUUAAAAGAGACCUGAGAGGUAAUUACUUCACACAGAAUGCAACAAUACCUGGAAUGAGGUGCCAGAGGGAGUGGUCAAGGCAGGUCUAGUUGCAACUUUUAAGGGGCUUUGGAUAGGUACGCACAGGGGAGAAGCAUGGAGGGUAAUGGGGCAAACACAGGCAACUCGAACUAGCAGGGAGAUUCUGGUGGUCAGCAUGGAUCAGUUGAGCCAAAGGCUUUGUUUUCGUGCUACGGUACUCUGCGACCUCUAUGACCUGUUAGAGUUUGCAGAAUUCUCUGUUUUAUCACAUACUUACAG